UUCCAUUUCACUUCUCCUUUACUUUCUCUCUCUGCAAAAGACUCAUUAAUAAUCACAAAUAAAACAAAAACUAGUCAAGUCCCUUAGUCGGUGAACGAAGCUCCGGCCAUAUUUCCGACAUCGGCGAGUGCUCGACUGAAGCACCACUUUUAUCUGAGGCUCGACUGAAGAACUUUUAUCUGAGAAUUUAGGCGAAGCUGAAUCUCCGGUCACAUUUCGCCGGAAUGUCAGUUCUACCUUACCGGCGACUACUCUGCCGUGAAAAUAAUUUCAGUUAACAGUCCGCGAAUCCGAAUACACGGCCACAUUUUCUCCGGAACGUUAGUUUUUCGAUUCCACCGACCACUCUACGGGGUAAACACCUUUAAGCAAACGCACAUCGCAUUUAUCUGACUUCACUCUGUUGCUUUGAGCUGUGAAGCUUCUAGUGGAGCUGCUGGUGCUUUUUCUGUUUUCGCUUUCUGCAAUCCCUUUCGAUCUCAUUUUUCUAAGUUUCAGAAGGGAUUACUUGAUGUGCACUUUGGGAUUUAUGAUCUUCAUUAUGCAAUCUCAGGAAUUAAGAUGAAUGGACUUCAGAAUGGCAGGAGUCGUACUUAUGAUAAACCUUCUCCAGGAUGCUUGGGACGAAUGGUGAACCUUUUUGAUUUGAAUUCAGGGGUGGCAGGAAACAGGUUGCUUACAGAUAAACCACAUCGUGAUGGUUCACUCUCAAGGAGCCAAUCAGAUCUGGUGAGGUUGCCGCCAUCUUCUGAGGAUCAAGUAGAAGAAAAAAUGGUGCGUCCUCUAUCCAGGUGACAUUUAUAUAGAGAGGAAGGUGCUG